UAUCUUUCUUAGGAUUUGGCAAAUUAUGAAUUCUUCAUACAUAUCCUCCAUUGAAUGAGCGUGCUGUGGCCUGGCAGAUGGAUCAAAACAAAGAAGUAAGAGAUACAGACAGAAAUAAUGCUUCAUAGUGCACGUGAUCACUGGCUGUGCUCCUGGAGCACUAGAUGUCGGACAAGAGACUCUACGGAUCUUGAGAGAGCGCACCAGGCCUCGCUCCCUCAGAUGGGAACCAAGCUAAUGCGCACGACUCCCCAGAGUUUUGGCAAGGCCGUUCAAAUCUUGAUAUGCUCCCCAAGGGGAAAAGUCAUAAAAAGUUGGCGACUCAAACACGUUGUUUUCUCACCUUGAGAGAAAUUUGGAGGCGACACAGAGAUCUCCUGGGAUUCCCCGGGAAUUAGCAUUUAUCAAGUUGGGGAGCCUGGAGAGGAGCAUUUGGCGGAUCCCCCGCUCGGUGGCCAAGCAGGAUGGGGGACUCGGGCCACCUCCCAAGCCCGGCAGGCAGCCUGCCCCGGUGAGGACACUGAGCACCGCUGUUCACCGAUGUGGCCUGACGGAGCAGGGCUCACGGGGCCUCUCAUCCUAGAGGCUCAGAUGCCUCAAGUCCACAGCCAGGUGUUUCAGGGCAGACGAUAGCAGGACCCUAUUUGCGUGAAAGCCCAGAAAGGUGUGAGGGGAGACUGGCAGUGGGACUUCGAGAACGGCCGGAUCUGCUCAGUCGCCAGCAGAGCACCGAAGUCAUCAUGUCCUUGGAGUGA